GUGGGUGUAAGCGCCAGGGCGCAGCGUGCAGCCAGCCACAGAAAUCGGGCCUCUGCUGGCCCCUGUGCAUAAUUAGUAGCCAGAAAUAGCACCUGAUCGGUGGCCCUGAACGAGCAAAUGUGUUUCCGUGCGGGUCCUCAUGUCUCCACAGCACUGCCCUGCUUUCUUCUUCCUUUCAGACAACAACUAUUUGCAUCCCAAGUGAUGGGUGUCCCAUUCUUUCCAAGCACCAUUCUCCACAGGGAUAGAUGGAAACAGCUGGAACGGAGGGGGGAGACUUUGGCUGUAAACCUAGACAGAGGUUCUCUUCUUCUCUCUGAGCCUCAGUUUCACCAUCCACAAGACGGGAACCAUGUUUGGGCUUCCCCGAGGCUCGACCGAUGGUGUGGACGGCAGCUCCUUGGCAGGUGGGAAGAGGAUACCAGAGGUGCCUGGAGCCCCUUUUCCAGCGGGAAAGCCAAAUGCUCAUGGAGAAAUCCCAGAGUGGAAUCUGAGGCAGGAUGGCUGGAUACAUCAUUUGGUGAUGAGUUCACAGCUCUGUGGGAGAGAGAGACAAGAAAACAUGCAUGUUAGUGCAAGGCAGCCUGGGCCGAAUGCAUGAAGAGAGGUGCAAACAUUCCCCACCCCACCCCCCAAAUAUGGUUCAACCAUUUACAGCAGGUGAGAAAAUGGCUUUAAGAUAUUUUAUUGCAUCCGGAGCUCUAGAGAACGAUUCUAAGUCUUUUAGGCUUCAGUUUCUCCUUCUCCUGGCCUUUUGCCUAAUGAAAUUAUGGAAACAGGGCAGGGGUAACCCGCUCUG